AUGGAGAAUGCGGUGGGCGCGCUGUCGGACAUGGUGGAGGCGCUGCCAGGCAAGCUGGGCGAGCUGCUGCAGCAGGAUUACGAGCCUCUCUCCUGUGCCCGCGGGGACGUCACCUUCUUCCAGGCCGAGCUGAGCACCAUGCACGCCGUCGUCCUCCGCUGUGAAGCCCUCGAGGAGCCCGACGUCCAGGCCACCAGCUGGAUCGCCCAGGUCCGCGACAUCGCCUACGACAUCGAGGAAUGGGUCGACCUCUUCGCCCACCGCGUCGACGCCGGCACCAACAACGCCGGCGCCGGCACCAACAACGCUGACGCCGGCACCUCCCACCGGUUCUCCCGCUGGAUCCGCCGGCUCACCACCAUCCCCAACCGCCACAUCUUCGCCACCGAGCUGAAGGAGCUCCGAGCGCGCGUCGUCGAGGUGAGCAAGCUGCGGAAGCGCCACAGUCUCGGCCCGCAGAUGUCGUCUCAUCACGCGCCCGCCGUCGACCCCCGGCUCUUCGCGCUCUACGCCGACAGUGCCGAGCGGGAUCGGACGGGCCGCGGGACGAGGUGGCGGGGAUGGUGA
rnacentral:rRNA from 1 species